rnacentral:tRNA from 3 species
CAGGUAGCUCAGUUGGUAGAGCAGUGGACUGAAAAUCCUCGUGUCGGUGGUUCGAUUCCGCCCCUGG